ACUCAUGCCUUGCAAAGAAAAUACCAUGUCAUAAAAGUGGUUUUCUUAGGGGGAAAAUCAUCUAUUAUAUUUUGAGUAUGUUGCUGAUCCCUGUGAUUUCCCCAAAUGUGUGGAACUCAACUGUAUAAUUUGUGUUAAUGGGGAUUACAUUUGUGAUUUCCCUG
rnacentral:snRNA from 1 species